UACAGAGGGUGCAAACGUUGCUCGGAGUUACUGGGCGUAAAGCGCGUGUAGGCGGUGCCGCACGUCCGGUGUGAAAGCCCAGGGCUCAACCCUGGAAGUGCACUGGAUACGACGGCGCUGGAGUCCUGAAGAGGAGGGCGGAAUUCCCGGUGUAGAGGUGAAAUUCGUAGAUAUCGGGAGGAAUACCAGUGGCGAAGGCGGCUCUCUGGACAGGUACUGACGCUGAGACGCGAAAGCGUGGGUAGCAAACAGG
rnacentral:rRNA from 1 species